rnacentral:lncRNA from 1 species
AUGACACACAGUGUCGUUCUUCCCCGCUCAGAGGCAAACCCUCGCCGCCCGCACCCAGCCCCGCGGCCGGGGCAGCGCUGGGGCGCCGGCACCGGCGGGGUGACAGAAAGCAUGCUGGAACGAAAAAAUAAACGUAAAUCGCAACAACAAAGGACACCACGCCGCACAAGCGCCUGCGGAUUUCUGGCUCGCUCUGGGUUUCGUUCUCUCGUGUUGUUGUUACCUUGCCUGAUAACGGAUGCGCCCAGCGUCCCGCCGGCCCGGUGUCUGCGCUCGGCGCGGGGCCGCCCGCUGCGUGUACGGUGCCGCGGCCGCGCCGCCGUUACAGCGCAGCGCCCGUCUUCCUGCCAGACAUGGUCUCUUCCUCCGCCUCCGCCGCGGGAGGAGAUCCGCCGCCGGCCGAGCGCGGUGCCGCGGUGCCGCCCGACCCGCCGCCUCCCGCCUGGGCCGGCUCCUCUCGCCGGGCUGUGCCGCCUGCCCGCCUCGGCGCUGCCUGCCCUCGCCACGGGUCCCCUCCGUGCCUGCCCGGGUCCCCUCUGGCUCGCUCUCCCUCCCGCCCGUCCCCUGUCCUUUAUCUGCCGCGCUCCCGGCUGUACUGUCUGUCUGCGAGUCUCUCCCUCGCCUUUCUCUCUCUCCCCGCCCACGCAGCGUGGUGCGCCUCGGACCGCAGACAGCGGCGCGCUGCUCGCCGGCUCCGCGCUCGCUGCGCUCAGCGCCGCCGCUCCGGCUCGCGCCGCCUCGGCCACCUCACAGGAGCCGCGGGCUCCGCCGCCAUGGCGCGCCCGACCCCUCCCGCCCCUCUCUCCUCGCAGACACCGCGCCCGGGCGGCUCCUCUCCCUCGGCCCGGCCCCGCGGCUGUGGCCGUCCGUGCGCCUGCCUGUGCGCGCGGUGCUGCUCCUCCAGUCACACCCCGGCACUCCCCAGCGGCCCGGCCCCAGCCGGGAGCUCACACAAAGCGCCGGUCAGCGCUGACGAGAGGGCCGUUUCAUCUUCUCAUACCCUCCCUACGCGUUCCCACCCGCGCCCUAUCGCCCCCCCAACCCUAA